rnacentral:rRNA from 1 species
AGAGUUUGAUCAUGGCUCAGGAUGAACGCUAGCUACAGGCUUAACACAUGCAAGUCGAGGGGAAACGACAUCGAAAGCUUGCUUUUGAUGGGCGUCGACCGGCGCACGGGUGAGUAACGCGUAUCCAACCUGCCCACCACUUGGGGAUAACCUUGCGAAAGUAAGACUAAUACCCAAUGAUAUCUCUAGAAGACAUCUGAAAGAGNUUAAAGAUUCAUCGGUGAUGGAUGGGGAUGCGUCUGAUUAGCUUGUUGGCGGGGUAGCGGCCCACCAAGGCAACGAUCAGUAGGGGUUCUGAGAGGAAGGUCCCCCACAUUGGAACUGAGACACGGUCCAAACUCCUACGGGAGGCAGCA